UAUGCAAGCAACCUCGGAAGACUACGAAUUUCGAAUCCUUGAUGACAACCCAGUGCUGGAAGGGACUGAUAAAACCAAGUCGAGUUGGUAUAAAAAAAUUAAUUGGAAACAAGCAGUCGAAAAUCUGAAGCUGACAUACAAAAGGGAUGAAUUGCGGGACAAUAAUUGGUGGCUCGCGAAGAUCAGGGUACUGCUGAUCUGGGCAAUUUGAGAGUAUCAAAGGAGCCGGGCUCUUGGGCUCACGUCCUACGGGAAGCUCUUGGACUAACGGAGGGAUGUCCACCAAAAGUGGGAGACGUGAAGGUGGACGGAGGGUUUUUCUCUGGUGGAUUUUGCAGAGAUAUUAACUUGGACAGCAAGGAUGGCUGGAGCAUGAAGUAGAGGCUUUUCCUCGAUGUCGAAGAUGGGAAUGGCACUAAAUUACUUACAGGAGUAGUUGAUCUAGAGCGAAAGCUCAUUAUU